rnacentral:rRNA from 1 species
UACAGAGGGGGCGAGCGUUAUUCGGAAUUAUUGGGCGUAAAGGGCGCGUAGGCGGCUUUGCAAGUGACGGGUGAAAUCCCUCGGCUUAACCGAGGAACUGCCUGUCAGACUGUAAGGCUUGAGACCGGGAGAGGUGAGUGGAAUUCCCAGUGUAGCGGUGAAAUGCGUAGAUAUUGGGAGGAACACCAGUGGCGAAGGCGGCCCUCUGGACCGAAACUGACACUGAAGCGCGAAAGCUAGGGGAGCAAACGGG